GUUUGAAUGUAAUAGAGCUUAUCAUAGCUAUUUGGAGGUUGAGUCCUAUUUAUUGGUCAGAAAAUUAUUGUGAAUACUGGUCAAGACAAGCAUUUUGCAGAUUAGGAAUUCAAGUCAGGGUCCCUGUUGUAUACCUAGGUCAAACUGAUUAUCAGUUCAAAUUAUGUAUUCCAAACUACUGAGAAACGGAAAGCUACCCUUUUCUCAUUUGUGAACGAGG
rnacentral:misc_RNA from 1 species